rnacentral:rRNA from 1 species
CUGGCGGCAUGCCUAAUACAUGCAAGUCGAUCGGAUGUAGCAAUACAUUAGAGGCGAACGGGUGAGUAACACGUAUCCAAUCUGCCUUAUAGUGGGGGAUAACUAGUCGAAAGAUUAGCUAAUACCGCAUAACAAGUUAACUAUCGCAUGAGAAUAACUUUAAAGAAGCAACUGCUUCGCUAUAAGAUGAGGGUGCGGCAUAUCAGCUAGUUGGUGAGGAUAAUGGCCCACCAAGGCGAUGACGUGUAGUUAUGCUGAGAGGUAGAAUAACCACAAUGGGACUGAGACACGGCCCAUACUCCUACGGGAGGCAGCAGUAGGGAAUUUUUCACAAUGGACGAAAGUCUGAUGGAGCAAUGCCGCGUGAACGAUGAAGGUCUUUUUAGAUUGUAAAGUUCUUUUAUUUGGGAAGAACAGUUAGUAGAGUGGAAAGCUAUUAAUUUGACUGUACCAUUUGAAUAAGUAACGACUAACUAUGUGCCAGCAGUCGCGGUAAUACAUAGGUUGCAAGCGUUAUCCGGAUUUAUUGGGCGUAAAACAAGCGCAGGCGGAUUAGAAAGUCUGGUGUUAAAAGCAAUUGCUUAACGAUUGUAUGCAUUGGAAACUUCUAGUCUAGAGUUUGGUAGAGAGUCCUGGAACUCCAUGUGGAGCGGUGAAAUGCGUAGAUAUAUGGAAGAACACCAGAGGCGAAGGCGAGGACUUGGGCCAAUACUGACGCUUAGGCUUGAAAGUGUGGGGAGCAAAUAGGAUUAGAUACCCUAGUAGUCCACACUGUAAACGAUUGAUGUUAAGUGUCGGAGCGAAUACUUCGGUGCUGCAGUUAACACAUUAAACAUCCUGCCUGAGUAGUACAUUCGCAAGAAUGAAACUCAAACGGAAUUGACGGGGACCCGCACAAGUGGUGGAGCAUGUUGCUUAAUUCGACGGUACACGAAAAACCUUACCUAGACUUGACAUCUUGGGCGAAGCUAUAGAAAUAUAGUGGAGGUCAACCCAAUGACAGGUGGUGCAUGGUUGUCGUCAGCUCGUGUCGUGAGAUGUUGGGUUAAGUCCCGCAACGAGCGCAACCCUUAUCGUUAGUUACUUUGUCUAACGAGACUGCCAACGUAAGUUGGAGGAAGGUGGGGAUGACGUCAAAUCAUCAUGCCCCUUAUGUCUAGGGCUGCAAACGUGCUACAAUGGCCAAUACAAACAGUUGCAAAUCCGUAAGGUGGAGCUAAUCUGUAAAGUUGGUCUCAGUUCGGAUUGAGGGCUGCAAUUCGCCCUCAUGAAGUCGGAAUCACUAGUAAUCGCGAAUCAGCCAUGUCGCGGUGAAUACGUUCUCGGGUCUUGUACACACCGCCCGUCAAACUAUGAGAGCUGGUAAUAUCUAAAACCGUGUUGCUAACCGCAAGGAAGCGCAUGUCUAGGGUAGGGCCGGUGAUUGGAGUUAAGUCGUAACAAGGUACCCCUACGAGAACGUGGGGGUGGAUUACCUCCUUGUCUAUGGAGUAUAUUAAUACACUAACACGAUAUACACCUGUUACAUAUAACGGUGAAACAAUUAAAACCCAGCAAGAAAAGUUAAACCCAUAAAAGCAAAUUGAUAACUUAAAAAU